ensembl:lncRNA
AUGGAAGAAUCAAAAAUAGCUGAAAUUCUACCAGAUGAGAUUACAUCAGACGAAAAGCAACCAAUUCAGGGAUGGGAAGGUGUCCCCGAAGAUGUUUCUAUCUUGUAUUUGCAGCCUCCUACACCUACACCUACACCAUCCUACAAGGAAACUGAAUUAGAAGAUGAAAUGGAAAUGGCAACUGGACUAGUAGAACCCACUGAAUCGACCCAGCAUGUCCCAACAGUGGCUGUAACUACCAGUACCAGUUUUUCUGGAUCUUCAGAAGAAGGGGAUGUCUUGGAAGAUAAGGUCACAACAGGAAAAGGUGGAUCUGAAACUUCAUUGUCAAGUUCCGGUGAAACACCAGAAUUUUCUGAGACAAGAGAAGAAAAAUUUCCUGACAUAGUGCAAAAACCAGCUACCCUAGAGUAUCUCCCAGAACAAAUACAGUCAAAGGAAUCGUUUCCCAGAUCUGGUUUUCCUCAGCUUGUUCCAGAUGAGUUUGCAACUCCUAAAGUAUCAGAUUCAAUUGUCAAGUCAGAACAGCAAUGGCGUUGGAAAGACUCUGGGUUCCAAGAAGCAGUUUUUAGUGGGAACAAGUUUGAACCAUUCUUGAGACGUGUCUGUAAAGUAACUCCACCUGCACCCAGAAGAGGCAAUACACAUGAAUACCGCUAUCUAGAAGAACCAUACUUUUCCGAUGAUACAAAAGAACAAGAAGACCAAGAUCCACCACCUGGGUUUCCUUCUACAAAGGCAGACAGCGGUCAAGACACCAAAUUAACCAAGAGUGGUGAACAAUUAUCUAUUCUAAGACUCAUAGAAAAAAAGAUGAGUUUAGAAGAAGGCCACAAAAUUGCCACAGAAGAGGAAGAAGAACCAAAGUUACAGGAUGUUUCUCCAAAGUUGAUCGGAGAUAAAAUGUCAGAUGCAGAGGUAGAUGAGGCCCAGAUUUAUUUUAAGAGCUUUCUGGAAAACUUCCUUGCUGAUAAACUUGUAAAAGUUGCAGCACUGCAAUCGAUUCUAAGCAAAAACAUUGAAAAUCUAGUUGCAGAGAGGCUCUCAGAAACACAGCUAUUCCAAGAACUAGAAGACCAUCUUAAGGAGAAACAGUUGCCUGAGGAAAAAAGAUCUGUUCCUAGAGAAAAGUUUUCAAAGCCAGACAUAAUGAAGUUGAAAGAGAUUGUGAGUCUAAACUUGCAAACCCGUCUUGUUAAGAAAUUUUGUCAACAGGGAAUAAUUCCAGAUCUGAAAGUAGCUGAGAGAGAUGAGAAGUUUUCUCUUCCAAGUGCUGCUGAUCUGCUAAAGAUAAAGGAAAGUGAAAUAAUAACAAUAAAACCACUAAGUGACACUCAGUUAGAAGACAUUCCUGUAACUGAACCAGUUGUUAAAGGGACAGAAUCAGUCACAAGCAAAUGGGAAGAUUACAAAGAAGCCCUUUGUCCUCUAAGAAAGAAGUCCUCAUUGGAAAUAAUUCGAGUAAAACUACCAUUUGGCACGGAAACAGAUAGUAGUAAACAGCGACUUUCCAAUUUUGACAUUCUCCUUGGCAAGGUUUUAAAAACAGAAAUAACACAUUUAAAAUCAUUUUUAAGCAAAAAGCUCCAGGAUCAUCUUAAAGAUAAACUUGCAGAAAUUGGAGUAACGGCAAAAGAUUUGAGGACAGUAUGCCGGAGGUUGUACUUUCCCCAGAAAGAGAAACACAUAAUAACACCAAAAGAGGUACUGAAAGAAGACGUUUUUUUCUCCGAGGAAGAGCUUGCAAAAGAAACACCUGUGUUAAGUAAAAGUAUGCAAAAUCUCGUAGAAGUCCUUUCCGAAAGAGAAAUGGCUAAUUUAAAGUCUGCAUUCAAUAAGAAGAUCCACGGCUAUGUUUCAAAAAGACUUUCGGAGAUAGAAGUGAUUACAGAGAAAGAGUUACAAGAAAUACUCAAACAUUUUUUUCCAAUUGUGGCCAAAGAAAUAUCAUUAAGGGGGGAUAAAGAAACAGAUGUAUCUAAAAAAGGGCCAACAGUACCUCCCUUAACCCAAAAUCUGCAUGACAGGUUUUCGGAAGAAGAACUACAAAAUCUAAAGAGUCUCUUAGGCAGACUUCUGCAAGAAGAUCACAAAGAAGAGCUUUCCGAAUCAGAAGUGAAAGGUUUAACAUCAGUUUUACAGAAAAACAUUGAGGAUGUUCCCAUACAUAGUGGUUCUGGAACUGAGAUGAACAAAGGAAUAGAGAUAAAGGAUAAAAGUUGUAAUAUACCUUUAACAAAUGCUGAAGAAAAUUUGAAAACUAAUGAUGUAGUUGUAUCAGACAGAGGCAAAGAGCAUUCAAUAGAAAGGCUUCAUAAAACUCCAGAAUCUGAUGAAAAAAGAGAACCACUAGACCUGCCUGUAAAUAAUAUUUUUGAAGUAGAAACAAGGAACCAAGAAACUCAGACUGUGCUCCUUCCAAAAAGAGUGAAACAUAGCUCUAAGAAAGAAAGUCACAAGUUGCCACCUUGUCCUGAAAAUCCAGAGAUGUCACUUUUAAAGAGGAGGUCAUUUGAAGCAGGAUUGAAAAGCAAACCAUCUGGUGAAGUUAUAAAGACAGCAGCUGAACCAUUUCCUUGCUCAUCUUUUUUGAGUGCACAUGAUAUUGGCGUACAAACUGAAAUCAGGAAUUAUCUUGGCAAGCCAAAUUACUUCACCAAGCCUUCCUUUCCAGUAAACCCUCAGACAUUUCUUCUUUUACAUUCAGAGUCUGAGGAUGAUGCAAAGGCACCAUGUAAAUAUCAUCACAAACCCAAAUACAAGAAGAAGUCUGACAGAAAGAGAGACUCAGGGCCACAUCGUUCACACCAAACAGCGAGCAAUGCACAAAACAAGAAAGAAAAAUCAAGUAGUGGAAGUUCAUCUAAGGAGAUUUUGAAAGAAAAAUACAAAAGACACAGUGAAACAUCUUCCCCAAAAACAAGAAUGUCAGAAAGCAAGAAGGAUUUAAAAGUUGCACUCUCUCCUAGUACUAUGAAAAAGGAGAGUGCGAAGCAGAGGGCGGAAAGAAAACGUUACCAGGAAAUAAAACCCAGAAAAUCUAGCAAGGGCUCUACCCUGUCUGAGCUAUUCCUAUCAAAAAUAGGAAUUCCUCCAUCUUCUGGUCAUACAAAAGGAAAUACAUUGGUCUCUACAGGCACAGACGAUAUAGAUAUAGAAGCAUACAAGCAUCUUGAAAAAGCCAUCGAAAGAGCUCUUAUUGAUUUAGGAAGAAUACCAGAUGGUAGCUCCCUCCAGGGAAGGCCAAACACUUCUCCAGUUGCUGUUGCCCCUGCGUCUAGAGAUUCAUCCCGAUCUUUCACCAAUCUCAUUGAGACUCCAAAAAAUCAAGCAGGGUCAAUAUCUGAGAUGCUUCAUAAUCAGGAGAUUUUAAAAAUGACACCGGACCAGUUAGAAAUAGUCCUUAAGAUUCUUCAAAAGGUGUUGAGUCAGAACACAAGACCCCCGGAUAAUGAAUGA